CUUGAACCCGGGAGGCAGAGGUUGCAGUGAGCCGAGAUCGCGCCAUUGCUCUCCAGCCUAGGCGACAGAGCAAGACUCCGUCUCAAAGAAAGAAAGAAAAAAAGCCUCUGGGAGGGAGCACUGCACAGUGUACCAGCUGAGCGCCUGACCUUUGGAGUUGGACAGAACUUUGCUGAGUCCCUGCUUUUCUCUUAGCGCCUGUGUAAUGUGGCCUCCCAACACCUUGGUUUCUUCUCCAACCUCAUUCUCACCAGCCAUUGGGCUAGGCAAGGGGACACAGCAACUAAGUUGGACAGAAGACAAAUAAAUGAGAGUUUGUGCAAAAAACCCAAAAAAGGUAACUUUGUAGACUAUGGAUUAAAAAUCUGAGCAAAAUUCCGAUAGUUUCUUAUAGAACAAAUUGGGAGGCAUGGAGAGGAGAAAUGUGGAAGGCUUGGGAGUGAUGAGAGUUUGGAACAGCCCUUGUCAGGAUAGGAGAGGAAGGGGCUCAAGGAAGACAAGAGAAAGCACUAGGCUAGGGCCCAAUGGCUCGAGGAGAGUACCAAGCGCCCUGCAUGGUGGACUGUUCCAGCAGGCUGAUGGAACACAGGGGGUUCAAAGGAACCAGUGAUGCAGUCAUGCUGUGGCUGGGGUUUACAAAAGGCUAAGUGACUCACUAAAGGUCACACAGGGACAUUUACACAAACAUCCUGGCCCCAAGUCCAGUGCUCUUUCUAAUCUAUAACAGGGUCUUUCCUUUUUUUUUUUUUUUGACAGGGUCUUGCUCAGUCGCCCAGGCUGGACUGCAGUGGCAUGAACACAGCUCAAGAGCUCUUGCCACAGCUUCCCCAGUAGCUGGGACUACAGGCAUGCGCCACCACACCAGGUUUAAAAAAAUUUUUUUUUGUUUUGAUUUUUAGUAAAGACAGGGGCUCACUGAUACUGUCAUUGCAAAAAUUAUAACCAAGAAAAUUAUGAUGGUCAAAGAGAUCUGACCUAACUGACUCUAUCUUGCUUCUAACCUCCAAACUGUCCUUGUUCUGGGUGUAGGCCCAACUAACUCUGGGAGGAGCUUAGAUUAUAGUUUAGCGUUGAAACAAAGACGACAACAGCCCUUUCCCAAAACAAACCCCCUUCCUGCCUGGGGACUAGGCCGCCUUGUAGGACUAACAAAUUAGCCACAAGUUUACAAAUUAUGGUUUAGGAGUCAUGCAGCUGGAGACUGCAAGAUUCUAAACCUCCCCAAAUAGCUCCUCAGGAUGACAUCACUAUUGUAAAACCUAAGAUCACAGAUAAGAUUGAGAUAUUUUUGCAGAGCCUGUACUUGAUGGAUUGAUCAGCUGGCACUACCCAGAUUGAUAAACUGCCUCAUCUGGUUUUGUGGCCCCCACCCAGGAACCGACUCAGCGUAAGAGGACAGUUUAGACUCCCUAUGAUUUCAUCUCCAACAUGACCAAUCAGUACUCCCACUCACUGGCCCCCUACCCACCAAAUUAUCCCUAAAAACUCCAAACCCCGAAUUCUUGGGGAGAUUGAUUUGAGUAAUAAUAAAACUCUGGUCUCCUGCACAGCUGGUUCUGCGUGAAUUAAACUGUUUCUCUAUUGCAAUUCCCCCAUCUUGAUAAAUUGGCUCAGUUGAGGCAGCGGGCGAGAAGAACCCAUUGGGCAGUUACAUCACUGUGUUGCCCAGGUUCAACUCGAACUCCUGGGCUCAAGCAAUCCUCCUGCCUCAGCCUCCCAACAUGUUGGGAUUACAGGCAUGAGCCACCACACCCAGCCAAGUCUGUCCUUAAUCAGGGUUCCUUUGGGUCUCAUUUUCUGAAGCUGCAAAAGCUAUUGGACCAGGUGACAUUGCCAACCCCUUUAAGCUGCUGUAACUGUAGUUUCAGCUGCUGGAUCUGCUUUCAGUUAGUUAUGUUCCCCAUCACUUUGGACAAGUCAUCCCAACUCCCUGGCUUGUUUUUGUAACUCGAUUACAGUCCAGAAGCCCAAGUUCUAAAGUGCUGAUUCUGAUGAGUGUCCAUGUACCAGGCACUCUGAUCCCAUCAUAGCAUCUACUACAGCCUGGGAGGUCUACUCAAGUGUGCAUUCAUGUUAAGCACUAACACCAAUUAAAUCACUUAAAUAACGUAGGUAAUUAUCCAAUAGCACAUCCAGACGUGGUGGCUCACACGUGUAAUCCCAGCACUUUGAGAGGCCGAGGCAGGCAGAUCACCUGAGGUCAGGAGUUCGAGACCAGCCCGGCCAAGGUGGUGAAACCCUGUCUCUACUAAAAAAUACAAAAUUAGCUGGGUGUGGUGGCGCAUGCCUGUAAUCCCAGCUACUUGGGAAGCUAAGGCAGGAGAAUCGCUUGAACCCAGGAGGGGGAGGUUGCAGUGAGCUGAGAUUGCACCAUUGCACUCCAGCUCGGGUGACAGAGUGAGACUCUGUCUCAAAAAAAAAAAGAAAAAAAAAGAAAAAAAUAAUAAUCCAACAGCACAUCUAAACAAGGCUUAAAGUUGUAAAAUAAAAUUACACUGUGUGGAGGGUGUGUGUGUGUGUGUGUGUGUGUGUGUGUGGGUGAGAGAGAGAGAGAGAGAGAGAUGAGGUCUCUGUCAUCCAGGCUGGAGUGCAACAGUGCCAUCAUAGCUCACUGCGGCCUCCAAUUCCUGGCCUCAAGCGAUCCUCCCGCCUUGGCCUCCCAAAUAGCUAAGAAUAGAGGCAUGUGUCACCACACCUUUUUUUUUUUGUCGUUGUUUGUUUGUUUUUAUGAAACGGAGUCUCGCUGUGUAGCCCAGGCUGGAGUGUAGUGAUGCAAUCUUGGCUCACUGCAACCUUCACCUCCCAGAUUCAAGCGAUUCUCCUGCCUCAGCCUCCCUAGUAGCUGGGGUUACAGACACGCACCACCACGCUGGAUAAAUUUUUGUAAUUUUAGUACACGGGGUUUCACCAUGUUGGCCAGGCUGGUCUUGGACUCCUGACCUCAGGUGAUCCGCCUACCUCGGCCUCCCACAGUGCUGGGAUUACAGGCGUGAGCCACCAUGCCCGGCUAAUUCCUGUAUUUUCAUACUUAGUUGUAUUUCCUAUUAGGGCCUUGGAUCCCGAGUAUAAUUUUGUACUCAAAUAUAAUUUAUAAAUAAGGCCUUAGCCUCCCAACAAGGUCAAAGUAGCUAAAAAGUAAGUCCUCCCAACCACUGACAUUACCAGCCCCCAGCCCCCAGUCCCAGCCCAGCGGGCUAACAAGGGUCCGGCCUCAGAGAGGGUCUCGGGGAUCCCAGAGGUGGGAAAGUCUCCGGAGGCGCAGGCCCCGCUCUCCACCUUCACCAGGGUCGGCGGCAGCACCACGCCGGGUCGCGG
rnacentral:lncRNA from 10 species